rnacentral:rRNA from 1 species
ACCGGUGCUUGCACUGGUCAAUCUAGUGGCGAACGGGUGAGUAACACGUGGGUAACCUGCCCAUCAGAGGGGGAUAACAUUCGGAAACGGAUGCUAAAACCGCAUAGGUUCUACAGUCGCAUGACUGAAGAAGGAAAAGAGGCUUCGGCUUCUGCUGAUGGAUGGACCCGCGGUGCAUUAGCUAGUUGGUGAGGUAACGGCUCACCAAGGCCGUGAUGCAUAGCCGACCUGAGAGGGUGAUCGGCCACAUUGGGACUGAGACACGGCCCAAACUCCUACGGGAGGCAGCAGUAGGGAAUCUUCCGCAAUGGACGCAAGUCUGACGGAGCAACGCCGCGUGAGUGAAGAAGGAUUUCGGUUCGUAAAACUCUGUUGUUAGAGAAGAACAGCGCAUAGAGUAACUGUUAUGCGUGUGACGAUAUCUAACCAGAAAGCCACGGCUAACUACGUGCCAGCAGCCGCGGUAAUACGUAGGUGGCAAGCGUUGUCCGGAUUUAUUGGGCGUAAAGCGAGCGCAGGCGGUCAAUUAAGUCUGAUGUGAAAGCCCCCGGCUCAACCGGGGAGGGUCAUUGGAAACUGGUUGACUUGAGUGCAGAAGAGGAGAGUGGAAUUCCAUGUGUAGCGGUGAAAUGCGUAGAUAUAUGGAGGAACACCAGUGGCGAAGGCG